rnacentral:tRNA from 1 species
AAUUUAAAUAGUGUAAGUAAACACUUAACUUUUUCAUUGUUAAAAUCCUUAUGGUUUAAAUUA